GAUGAACGCUGUCGGUAUGCUUAACACAUGCAAGUCGAACGGUCACUUCGGUGAUAGUGGCGGACGGGUGAGUAACGCGUGAGAAUCUGUCUUCAGGUCGGGGACAACAGUUAGAAAUGACUGCUAAUACCGGAUGUGCCUUUGGGUGAAAGAUUUAUUGCCUGAAAAAGAGCUCGCGUCAGAUUAGCUAGUAGGUGGUGUAAGAGACUACCUAGGCUCCGAUCUGUAGCUGGUCUGAGAGGACGAUCAGCCACACUGGAACUGAGACACGGUCCAGACUCCUACGGGAGGCAGCAGUGGGGAAUUUUCCGCAAUGGGCGAAAGCCUGACGGAGCAAUACCGCGUGAGGGACGAAGGCUUUUGGGUCGUAAACCUCUUUUCUCAAGGAAGAUGAUGACGGUACUUGAGGAAUAAGCAUCGGCUAACUCUGUG
rnacentral:rRNA from 1 species